AGAGUCUGCAAUGCCCAAAGCCGGUGGCCUAACCUUCGGGAAGGAGCCGUCUAAGGCAGGGCAGAUGACUGGGGUGAAGUCGUAACAAGGUAGCCGUAGGAGAACCUGCGGCUGGAUCACCUCCUUUCUAAGGAAGCGAAGGAUAUGGAGAGUAGAAAUACUAAGAGAAGUAUCCAGAGCAAGCGGAAGCACACUGAGAAACUUUGUUUAGUUUUGAGGGUAGUACCUCAAAGAGUUAGUACAUUGAAAACUGAAUAUAAUCCAAGCAAAAAACCGAGACAAUCAAAGAGAACAGAUUGUAGAGCGACCGAGAAGAGAAUUCUUGAGUAAGGUCAAGUAGAAAAGGGCGCACGGUGAAUGCCUAGGCACUAAAAGCCGAUGAAGGACGUGACGAACUACGAAAAGCUUCGGGGAGCGGUAAGUACGCUAAGAUCCGGAGAUGUCCGAAUGGGGGAACCCAAUGCAGCGAUGCAUUAUUGAAUGAUGAAUAGAUAGUCAUUCAAAGGAAUACGCAGUGAAC
rnacentral:misc_RNA from 1 species